AGCGUACACGGUGGAUGCCCUGGCAGUCAGAGGCGAUGAAGGACGUGCUAAUCUGCGAAAAGCGUCGGUAAGGUGAUAUGAACCGUUAUAGCCGGCGAUGUCCGAAUGGGGAAACCCAGUGCAAUUCGUUGCACUAUCGUUAACUGAAUACAUAGGUUAACGAGGCGAACCGGGGGAACUGAAACAUCUAAGUACCCCGAGGAAAAGAAAUCAACCGAGAUUCCCCCAGUAGCGGCGAGCGAACGGGGAGCAGCCCAGAGUCUGAAUCAGCUUGUGUGUUAGUGGAACGGUCUGGAAAGUCCGACGGUACAGGGUGAUAGUCCCGUACACCAAAAUGCACAGGCUGUGAACUCGAAGAGUAGGGCGGGACACGUGGUAUCCUGUCUGAAUAUGGGGGGACCAUCCUCCAAGGCUAAAUACUCCUGACUGACCGAUAGUGAACCAGUACCGUGAGGGAAAGGCGAAAAGAACCCCGGCGAGGGGAGUGAAAAAGAACCUGAAACCGUGUACGUACAAGCAGUGGGAGCACCUUCGGGUGUGACUGCGUACCUUUUGUAUAAUGGGUCAGCGACUUAUAUUCUGUAGCAAGGUUAACCGUAUAGGGGAGCCGCAGGGAAACCGAGUCUUAACUGGGCGUUAAGUUGCAGGGUAUAGACCCGAAACCCGGUGAUCUAGCCAUGGGCAGGUUGAAGGUUGGGUAACACUAACUGGAGGACCGAACCGACUAAUGUUGAAAAAUUAGCGGAUGACUUGUGGCUGGGGGUGAAAGGCCAAUCAAACCGGGAGAUAGCUGGUUCUCCCCGAAAGCUAUUUAGGUAGCGCCUCGUGAAUUCAUCUUCGGGGGUAGAGCACUGUUUCGGCUAGGGGGUCAUCCCGACUUACCAACCCGAUGCAAACUACGAAUACCGAAGAAUGUUAUCACGGGAGACACACGGCGGGUGCUAACGUCCGUCGUGAAGAGGGAAACAACCCAGACCGCCAGCUAAGGUCCCAAAGUCAUGGUUAAGUGGGAAACGAUGUGGGAAGGCACAGACAGCCAGGAUGUUGGCUUAGAAGCAGCCAUCAUUUAAAGAAAGCGUAAUAGCUCACUGGUCGAGUCGGCCUGCGCGGAAGAUGUAACGGGGCUAAACCAUGCACCGAAGCUGCGGCAGCGACACUAUGUGUUGUUGGGUAGGGGAGCGUUCUGUAAGCCUGCGAAGGUGACCUGUGAGGGUUGCUGGAGGUAUCAGAAGUGCGAAUGCUGACAUAAGUAACGAUAAAGCGGGUGAAAAGCCCGCUCGCCGGAAGACCAAGGGUUCCUGUCCAACGUUAAUCGGGGCAGGGUGAGUCGACCCCUAAGGCGAGGCCGAAAGGCGUAGUCGAUGGGAAACAGGUUAAUAUUCCUGUACUUGGUGUUACUGCGAAGGGGGGACGGAGAAGGCUAUGUUAGCCGGGCGACGGUUGUCCCGGUUUAAGCAUGUAGGCUGGUUGUCCAGGCAAAUCCGGAUAAUCAAGGCUGAGGUGUGAUGACGAGGCACUACGGUGCUGAAGUAACAAAUGCCCUGCUUCCAGGAAAAGCCUCUAAGCAUCAGGUAACAUUAAAUCGUACCCCAAACCGACACAGGUGGUCAGGUAGAGAAUACCAAGGCGCUUGAGAGAACUCGGGUGAAGGAACUAGGCAAAAUGGUGCCGUAACUUCGGGAGAAGGCACGCUGGUGUGUAGGUGAAGUCCCUGCGGAUGGAGCUGAGACCAGUCGAAGAUACCAGCUGGCUGCAACUGUUUAUUAAAAACACAGCACUGUGCAAACACGAAAGUGGACGUAUACGGUGUGACGCCUGCCCGGUGCCGGAAGGUUAAUUGAUGGGGUUAUCCGUAAGGAGAAGCUCUUGAUCGAAGCCCCGGUAAACGGCGGCCGUAACUAUAACGGUCCUAAGGUAGCGAAAUUCCUUGUCGGGUAAGUUCCGACCUGCACGAAUGGCGUAAUGAUGGCCAGGCUGUCUCCACCCGAGACUCAGUGAAAUUGAACUCGCUGUGAAGAUGCAGUGUACCCGCGGCAAGACGGAAAGACCCCGUGAACCUUUACUAUAGCUUGACACUGAACAUUGAGCCUUGAUGUGUAGGAUAGGUGGGAGGCUUUGAAGCGUGGACGCCAGUCUGCGUGGAGCCAACCUUGAAAUACCACCCUUUAAUGUUUGAUGUUCUAACGUUGGCCCCUUACCGGGGUUGCGGACAGUGUCUGGUGGGUAGUUUGACUGGGGCGGUCUCCUCCCAAAGCGUAACGGAGGAGCACGAAGGUUAGCUAAUCCUGGUCGGACAUCAGGAGGUUAGUGCAAUGGCAUAAGCUAGCUUGACUGCGAGCGUGACGGCGCGAGCAGGUGCGAAAGCAGGUCAUAGUGAUCCGGUGGUUCUGAAUGGAAGGGCCAUCGCUCAACGGAUAAAAGGUACUCCGGGGAUAACAGGCUGAUACCGCCCAAGAGUUCAUAUCGACGGCGGUGUUUGGCACCUCGAUGUCGGCUCAUCACAUCCUGGGGCUGAAGUAGGUCCCAAGGGUAUGGCUGUUCGCCAUUUAAAGUGGUACGCGAGCUGGGUUUAGAACGUCGUGAGACAGUUCGGUCCCUAUCUGCCGUGGGCGCUGGAGAAUUGAGGGGGGCUGCUCCUAGUACGAGAGGACCGGAGUGGACGCAUCACUGGUGUUCGGGUUGUCAUGCCAAUGGCACUGCCCGGUAGCUAAAUGCGGAAGAGAUAAGUGCUGAAAGCAUCUAAGCACGAAACUUGCCCCGAGAUGAGUUCU
rnacentral:rRNA from 1 species